UAGGGAAUAUUGCGCAAUGGGCGAAAGCCUGACGCAGCGACACCGUGUGUAGGAUGAAGAUCUUCGGAUCGUAAACUAUUGUCAGUUGAAGACGAAGGCAGUAGAGUUAAGAACUCGAAUGUUGACGGUAUUCAAUAAGGAAGUCUCGGCUAACUCCGUGCCAGCAGCCGCGGUAAUACGGAGGAGGCAAGCAUUGUCCGGAAUUAUUGGGCGUAAAGAACACGUAGGUGGUUUUUCAAGUCAUGUGUGAAAACUUUGGGCUUAACUCAAAGAUUGCAUAUGAUACUGACUAACUAGAGUACAGUAGAGGAAAGUGGAAUUCCUGGUGUAGCGGUGAAAUGCGCAGAUAUCAGGAAGAACACCAGUGGCGAAAGCGGCUUUCUGGACUGUUACUGACGCUGAGGUGUGAAAGCUAGGGGAGCGAACA
rnacentral:rRNA from 1 species